ensembl:lncRNA NKAPP1 NFKB activating protein pseudogene 1
ACCUUGGCCGGAGGCCACACAGACCUGGGGAAAUGUUUUGCCAACGUACUCGCAAUAGUUCCCAUGGUUUCCUUUGCUCCCAGCGGUUGCGCGGGCUGGGUUUUUGGAGCAAAGGCAACGGAUACUGCUGAGGCUCCUGAGAAUGUCCCGUUUUCGAGGCUGCAGUAGCUCCGGUGUCCGGUUCUGCAGUGCCGAGAGGGAGGCCUCGGGCUCCGGGCGGGGGAAUGUGUUGCAGUUUGUCCAAGAGCCCCAAGCCCAGCAAAGCCGCCCGUUCCCCGCUGGGGCGCAACUCUCACUGGAACUCUUGUUCUCUGACUGGGGAAUGGAAUGGGCUCAGCCAAGGCUCCCGAAACCAGCCCUGCCGCUCCCAGUUGUGGUCGCAUUCUCAAGAGCGGCUGACUGCGCCGUGGACCAUCACUUUCGCUUCUGCCUGCUCUUGCGCCUAUUGCGGCAACUACUCACGCUCCUACGGGACGAGGAGAGGGAGGUGAAUCCGUGGCAGAGGCCACUCCAUUGCUCUGGGCCUGCAGAAAGCCCUCUACAGUGCUGUAUAAAGGAUAUAGUCAAAAGCAG